CGUCCCGCCGGCGACCGGCGCACGGGUGAGUAACACGUAUGCAACCUGGCCGCCACAGGGGGAUAACCCGCGGAAACGCGGCCUAAUACCCCGUGACGCCACCGGAGGGCAUCCUCCGGUGGCCAAAGGAGCGAUCCGGUGGCGGAUGGGCAUGCGGCGCAUUAGCUAGACGGCGGGGUGACGGCCCACCGUGGCGACGAUGCGUAGGGGUUCUGAGAGGAAGGCCCCCCACACUGGGACUGAGACACGGCCCAGGCUCCUACGGAAGGCAGCAG
rnacentral:rRNA from 1 species